GAUGAACGCUGGCGGCGUGCUUAACACGUGCAAGUCGAACGGAAAGGCCCAAGCUUGCUUGGGUACUCGAGUGGCGAACGGGUGAGUAACACGUGGGUGAUCUGCCCUGCACUUCGGGAUAAGCCUGGGAAACUGGGUCUAAUACCGGAUAGGACCACAUUUUGGGUGGUGUGGUGGAAAGUUUUUCGGUGUGGGAUGAGCUCGCGGCCUAUCAGCUUGUUGGUGGGGUAAUGGCCUACCAAGGCGUCGACGGGUAGCAGGACUGAGAGGGUGUACGGCCACACUGGAACUGAGAUACGGCCGCGACGGCUACGGGAGGGAGAAGGGGGGAAUAUUGCACAAGGGGCGCAGGCCUGAUGCUGAGACGCUGCGUGGGGGAUGACGGCCUUCGUGUUGAAAACUCCUUUCGCUAGGGACGAAGCGUUAUGUGACGGUACCUGGAGAAGAAGCACCGGCUAACUACGUG
rnacentral:rRNA from 1 species